rnacentral:snRNA from 1 species
GUGCUUGCUUCAGCAGCACAUAUACUAAAAUUGGAACAUUAAUGAGAAGAUAAGCAUGGCUACUGCUCAAGAAUAAAACAGAUAUUCAUGAAGUGUUCUAUAUUUUU